AUCCCUGCAUGCCGAGAGAGGCUCAGGCUGUGAUUUCAAGCUGGGGGGUGUUUUUGUAACUAGGUAGAAAGCACCCCUGUGGCUUGAACUUCACAGUUUGACAAACAUGUGGCAUCUGCAGUCU
rnacentral:pre_miRNA from 1 species